GGCCCCCCCCAAAACGACCCCCCACCUCUGCCCCUGCCCCCUUGCGGGGGUUACCCACGGCUGCUCCUCCUUUCCCGCGUCUACCUCUCCUCAUUACCUGUGCUUGCAACCUACAUUCAAAAGUAUUUUGUAUUUAUAAUUUCUUUUUCUGGUUUUGCUUUUCUACUGCAUGUCUAGGGGGGAGGGGCCAGCCUGUCCAGACCCCUCUCCUUUUGCGAACCUGCCAUAUGGAGGAGGCAUCUGAGGGGCUCAGAAAGAAAUUAGCGCAGCUCUGUAUCUGUAGACUGCGUUACUUUUAAGCUCCCGGGACUGAAAUAAUAAUAUGGGCACACAGGUACAGGAAAUACAGCCAGUCCACGGCCUUUUCAGACUGCAGCUGACCGGAAGACAGCCAUUCAUUCAUUCAUUCAUUUAUUCGGACAGCCUCGGUUGAAGAGCCCUGAAAUCAGAAGUUGGGCGAGGAAAAAAAAAAGUCUCUACACUCGCUGAGAAGAGAUAAAUCGAUAUACAGGAGAGAAACAGAACCGGAGUCAGCGUCUCUAACGCAACCCAGAAGCAGGCGAAAGGCCUUUUCACCAGCUGAUCACGUCCUCUGCAUUUUAUCCUGCUAGCUGCCACCUCUACAACAUUCUUCUCCUACAAUCUGCUUGGGUAUCUUAUUUCCUGCCACCCUAAUGCUAAGCACAUGAUGUUGGCCUGAGGUUUCCUCAGGGAUCAGACCUGGGACUCCAGCAGGUAGGAAAGUGCAAGGAUACUCAAGUCCUGUAAUAGUGGUGUUUACAUAGAACCCCCAUCCAGGUGCCAGCGAGAUGGCUCAGUGAGUAAAGGCAUUUGCUGCCAAGCCUGAGGACCCAAGUUCCAUCCCCAGCACUGCAUGAUGUAAGGAGAGAACUGGCUCCCAUACAUUGUCCUCUGACUGACACACCUGCAAGUGCAGCCCGUGGUGGGUGCAUGGACACACAAACACACAUCAAAUAAAAGAUAAAGAACCCA